rnacentral:rRNA from 1 species
UGGAGAAUCUUCCGCAAUGGACGAAAGUCUGACGGAGCCACGCCGCGUGAGGGACGACGGCCUUCGGGUUGUAAACCUCUUUCAGCAGGGAAGAAGCGCAAGUGACGGUACCUGCACAAGAAGCCCCGGCCAACUACGUGCCAGCAGCCGCGGUAAUACGUAGGGGGCGAGCGUUGUCCGGAAUUAUUGGGCGUAAAGGGCGCGUAGGCGGCCCUGUAAGUCGGCAGUGAAAUCCCGAGGCUCAACCUCGGAACUGCUGUCGAUACUGCAGGGCUUGAGGAAGGUAGAGGAGAGUGGAAUUCCCGGUGUAGCGGUGGAAUGCGCAGAUAUCGGGAGGAACACCUGCGGCGAAGGCGGCUCUCUGGGCCUUACCUGACGCUGAGGCGCGAAAGCAUGGGGAGCAAACAGGAUUAGAUACCCCCGUAGUCC